UCAGUCCAUCAUUACUGUAAGACAUGAAGGUCAGUCCAUCAUUACUUUAAGACAUGAAGGUCAGUCCAUCAUUACUGUAAGACAUGAAGGUCAGUCCAUCAUUACUUUAAGACAUGAAGGUCAGUCCAUCAUUACUUUAAGACAUGAAGGUCAGUCCAUCAUUACUUUAAGACAUGAAGGUCAGUCCAUCAUUACUUUAAGACAUGAAGGUCAGUCCAUCAUUACUUUAAGACAUGAAGGUCAGUCCAUCAUUACUGUAAGACAUGAAGGUCAGUCCAUCAUUACUUUAAGACAUGAAGGUCAGUCCAUCAUUACUGUAAGACAUGAAGGUCAGUCCAUCAUUACUUUAAGACAUGAAGGUCAGUCCAUCAUUACUGUAAGACAUGAAGGUCAGUCCAUCAUUACUUUAAGACAUGAAGGUCAGUCCAUCAUUACUUUAAGACAUGAAGGUCAGUCCAUCAUUACUUUAAGACAUGAAGGUCAGUCCAUCAUUACUGUAAGACAUGAAGGUCAGUCCAUCAUUACUUUAAGACAUGAAGGUCAGUCCAUCAUUACUUUAAGACAUGAAGGUCAGUCCAUCAUUACUUUAAGACAUGAAGGUCAGUCCAUCAUUACUUUAAGACAUGAAGGUCAG